rnacentral:rRNA from 1 species
UACGGUGGGGGCAAGCGUUGUUCGGAAUUACUGGGCGUAAAGCGUGCGCAGGCGGUUUUGUAAGUCUGUCGUGAAAGCCCCGGGCUCAACCUGGGAAUUGCGAUGGAGACUGCAAGGCUUGAAUCUGGCAGAGGGGGGUAGAAUUCCACGUGUAGCAGUGAAAUGCGUAGAGAUGUGGAGGAACACCGAUGGCGAAGGCAGCCCCCUGGGUCAAGAUUGACGCUCAUGCACGAAAGCGUGGGGAGCAAACAGG